CUGUUUGCGGGUGUAGCAUCAUCAAGAUUCACAUGCAAAUACACGGCAGUGAUGUGAUAAUCUCUUGCGAAGCACUGAGAAUCUUGAUGAUGCUGCAUCAGCAAUAAG
rfam:Citrus sinensis cultivar Ridge Pineapple sweet orange scaffold00061_contig_16, whole genome shotgun sequence.